UCCCCGCCCCCCAAAUAAAAGGAGGGAUAAUUCCCCCCUUUUUUAUUUUGACGAAGAGCCAAAAUCACCCCCAAAUUCUCUGAAAGUUCGCCGCUUCGUCGAAGGUCACCGACGCCAUCGUCGAAGCUCACCGACGCCAUCAUCGGAGAUCUCCGCCUCCGUCGGAUCUCGCCGCCUCCUCCUCCUCCUCCUCCUGCCAAAAUCACCCUGGAAGAUAGGAUGGGAAAUAUUCUUAGAUAGGGGGACUUUCAAUUGAGCAUCACCAGCUUUGGGCCUGCCGGUUGCCAGUUAUCGCCUUCGUUAUCUUACAGGAAACUUAAGCUCACCUUCCUCACAUACUUCGAUUCCAGAUCAAAAGCCUCCACUUCCUUAUAUUAGGAAAAGCCUGGAGAGGAUGAUAUCAACUCUGAGCGGAUCUCCACUUGAGAAAGUUGUUGGAAGUUCUGAAAGUCUGAAGCCAGAAACUAGGGACAAUCUUGUUGGUGAGAUGCAGGGACUUCUGAUGAAAGUCGAUAAGAUGCUGACUGGACCAGCCCCAGUUUUAACAGUGUUCCUGGGUUGUCGAUCCCAAGAACCAUCCACCGAAGCGUGUCGAUCCCAAUGAUUGGGUAUCGAUGAUCGAUGUGUGGCAAACUGAAGAAUGGAAGGUAUAGAUCUCAAAUCACUUUAUUAAAUUGUCAUGUUAAUUUUGGAAUGCUGUGUUGGGAUUCCUCAACACCUGAUCCUUAACUUAUUUUCCAAUUAACCCCUUUAUCAACCAUAAUUGUCGGGUAGGGCUGUAAAUUAAAUUUACAGCAUGUACGGAGCAUUGGAGGACUCGGAGGAGUAUAAUAUUCAAGAGUUUCAGAACACUGCACGCUAAGGUUCAGAACACUGCACGCUAAGGGAUGAAGAUCUUCUUUGCCAUGGACUUGCAUUAAAUGAUGAUUUGCAGCAUGUCUUAUCCAAAACGAUGCUCUUAAUGCAGGUGGUGUUGUUCGUAUACAGAAAACAAAGUCUCUUCAGGCACUUAAUGCAGAUAUUCCUCCUCUUCAUGGACAAGCACUCUGCAAGUCCUAUUGCUCAAGGAUUCGGGAGGCUUGUUAAUCUUUGACGCCAUUGGUACCUUCUGUCAUCAACUAUUUGUAAUUAAUGAUACAAAUUUGAGAUUGUUGUUUCUAGUUUUCUUGAUGUAAUUUGUUUUUGAGAGACUUUAUGUACUUGGGUAUGUAAGAGGAAGUUUGUAAAUUAACGCUUUUAGCGCUCAAGGGGAAAUGGAAAAAUAGACUUUUAUGUUGAUUUGAA